AGUGAUUGUGUAAGUUUGGACACUGUAGAUGUCAGGGCAUCAGCAUCUACUGCUGCUGCCUUUUUUACAUCUUCUAACUCGGUGCUCAAGCCUGAAACCACUUUAAGGCCCAGGUUACGAUAGUGUUCUGAUGACUGAUUAGAAUCCACAUCCAAAUCCUCUGACUUUACACUACAAACACUCUGGCUUGGCCUUGCUGUGCGGGCAGCACNGCCUUCAGAACGGAUAAUCUCCUGAACAACAAAGUGCAAGAGUGUAGUCUUGCCAUCAGUUCCCUUGACAUCAGAGAGUUUCAAGAGUGUGUCAAGCUUAAAGGCCAGUGCACCACCCCGAUAUGUACCAUCAUUCAUGCGGUUACCAGUUUUCAGAACUGCUUCUAAUAGUUUCAGAAAUAGCCUGCUGUUUCUGAGCUUGUC
rnacentral:misc_RNA from 1 species